AUUGAUGACUGAGACCGACCCAGUGAACAUAUCUGUAAGGUGAAGCUUGGCUCUCACUGGAGAGCAUGUGAGUUUAUGUGAUUAUCGUCAAAACAGCCGCCUUUCAGAAUAUGAUUUUGAAUUUGGAAAAUCUUCAGACCGAACUGUUCGAAAACCUCAUUCAGAGCGUUCAUGUUUAAUUCAACUGUUGAAUUUUAUGAUUGUCACGUGCAGUUCUUCAUGACAUUCAAAACAUUUCCUCUGGUAUAUCUUUCUUUGAACAAAGUUUCUGUCAAGUUUCUCAAGUAAAAUACUUCGUCUCCAGUAUUUUCCUUCUUUUCCUCAAAAGCCAACCGUCAGCUUCUCAGGGUUUGGAUCACAACUUCAAGUCACAGUUUCUCAAUUCACCCGGUGUCUUUCAACCAGCAACGUUUUCAAACGAACUUAGAGUUCCGGCUGUUAUUUUCGUCGCAAGAUACAACUUCGUGCGUUGAAUACAGUUCAAACAAUUCAUCCCAGUAUUUGUUGAUGUCGCGGAUGUCUUCAAAAUCCACUUUAUCAGAACGGUUGUUCACCUUUCUUGUCAGAAAUACAAGACCGGUGCUAAGAAGGUGCAAGUUAUUACGAUCAUGUACGUCUCCAAGUAGCAUGAGUGGGUUGUGUUUCCAAUCGAGCGCCUUCUCCUUGAUGCACUUAAUUGUCUUCUUCCAUCGACUGUCUUUCUUUUGCGGCAAUGGAACAAAAUAGUGCACCUCUUCCAGCUCAAGUGACCAUCGAACUUUUCUUGGCUUUUCUGAAAAAUCACCCUCCUGUUCUUGGCUUUGAAGUUCUUCAGCCUCUUGUUUUGAUAGCUCCAUUGUGGUUGUAAUCGUCUUUUCAAAUGAAAGUUUGCCAAGUAGAGUUUCAACUGUUAGGCGAUCACCGAGGAACUGAAUUUAUAUCAACACAAUCGAUCACUUUUAAAUGUAAGCAAAGCGGUUCAGCGUUCGAUCGUAGGACCGCUGCGUUACACAAAUCCUAUAGGCUGCUAAAAAUAAACAAUUCGAGUGGAUGGCUUUUUAAGACAGAUCAUUUGUUCUCGUCACAAACAUUGGACAAACAAAUUUUAAAAACAUGGACGGGGCCAUUGAGAGUUCUUCCUUUUCACCUGUUCGAUCACCGGAAGACAUCGCUGUAAUGACGUUAGCAUGGCGCCCACGAAUAAAGACAUGAAACUUAACAUGCACAAAUGAACUUUACAUUUUGACAUGACCGACAAAAAAAUAAUUUUUUAAGUUUUGUUGACGAAAUCUUACGGCUUAAAAUACCUGGCUUACUCACUUAAUACGAAUUUGCCCCUAAGAGAAUCAGCUUAAUUAUUGUUGCUGUGGUGCAUCGCUUUAAGUUUGCAUAAUUUUGAACAUUAAUUGGCGAUUGGCCUAUAACUCAUUUAUUUUUUGCAUAAGUGUACUGCCUAAACUGAAGUUUCUUGGAAACAGGGAAUAUUGUUAAAGAGCUCGUAAUAGUAAAUGUUAAUAACAAGUCUUAAUUCCUUACAGCUACCGAUCAAUUUCGAACUUUGAAAAGUCCUUUCAAGGACAGUCAUAUCUCAAUCUUGCUGUUAUACCUACAGUUGUAGUACUUUCAUUUCAGUUUAGAUUCCCAUCAGCACAGAAUACGUUUUGAAAACAAAGUCCGAAUAUCGUUGAACUUUCUGCCUUUUUUUGGAUGAAAAUAUCUCCUGACCAGGUUUUUAUUAUUUCUUCUUUGUGAAGUGUUUUCGUUAUGUUUACACGAUAUUCGUUCAACUAUCAGACAUUAUUUAUUCCUUAUUUCCAAGAAAUUUCGCCCGUUUUUUCCAUCGAACUCAAAACAAUUACAUCAUAGUUCUAUUUUAGAUGAUAUUUGUGCUAUUAUUUUUCUGGGUACAAAUUACAUCCUGCGGAAACUCCACAAAACGUCUCCAGAAAAUCAACCUCCUACAACCUGAGAUAAUUAAUUUUAAAUCGCCUUCCCUAUUCGUUAUUUAUAUGUGGCUAUAUUUUUAUCUCUCAAAAUGCUGGAAAGUGCAGGUUCCGUUGUUGUUAUAUUUUACGGUUCAGAGAAUUUCGUGGCUAUCUUGUGUUCAAAUUACUUGGAAUUUGUUUACAAAAAGACUAUAACGUUUUGCAAUUGGACCAGUGAAGAAAAGGAAUUGAUGGUAAUUGUAGAAUUCAACUUCCGCUAAAAAAGUUCAAUUUUAACCCUUCCUUUUUGACCAUAGAAUUUGUGGUAAGCAAUGCGUGUUGCUCUUGCUCUUGGCGUCAGCUAAAUUAUACCAUAACGAAAUAAUGCUAAAGGUCACUUCUGGUAAAUUAAUCGUAAAUUAAACGAGUUAUAAUGGCACAGGUUUAGCCAGCGUACUUUUGAAUCAAACAAUCCAACAAGUCUUAUUUCAUUAUUGAAGUAAAACAAUGAAAGGUAUUUUAUUGCUUUAGCUAGGGUCAGAUAAAUUAUGCCGGCAUAAUUUUGGGUGUAUAAAAGCUUUCAAAUAGUGAACAUCGUGCAUAAUGACUAAACUUUUUAAAAAUUUUAGUUGAUUCCUUCAACAAGACUGAUAGAGAUAAAAAUGUCAAAAGUGAACCUGCUUUUCUUGCUUGAGCCGGUUCAGUCCAGUGAAAUGAUAUGUUGACAAAAUUUCAUGUUGACAUGGUAGACAUGUAUUUUUAGGUUGGACAUAAUGAAAAAGUUUGAGCUUUAUUCAGUUUCGGCAUGAGGUCAUGUUUUAAGGAAUGACGCUCAAAAGUCUAGAGCUCAAAUUUAGAUUUUUUUAACAACAGAAAAAUUAUUUAAAUUGAAUAAUGUACAUCAUAUAUCUUAAACAACAUUACUGAAACACUUAGCGCUCUUUGAAUGAUCAAAACAUUUCUUUGUUGUGCAAGUUAGUUGCUGGGAAACUGACAGCUUCAAAUCUUUUUUAAAGAAAAUUUUUGUAAGCCUCAUUAUUCACACUGAAUUUUUCUGUUUUCUUCCAGCAUCCGACAUGUACUUUUACGCAGGUAAACUGAUAGGAUAGAAAAUACUGUCUGGUCCUAACUAAUAUGUAGUAUUGACGCGAUAAAGUGAAAAAUAACAACCUAAAACUUAGACUGUGAGUGACAGAAACUGUGGCCUUUAAAAAGAUGUAUUGAUAGUCUCCUUCAAAUAAAGUAAAAUCUAUCGCCAGGUUAUUGGAAUAUCUCUAAUUGUUUUCGAAUAAUAAUAAUAAUA
rnacentral:misc_RNA from 1 species